CUACCGUGAUGGCGGUUGGCUCGGCGGCUGGCGGCUGCGGCGCUGCUCGGCCUGGUCUCGCUGCACGCGGCAGGUGGGCAGCUCUCGACAGAUGACCAGUGCCCCAUCGACGACCGGGUGGCCCUGAGUAACUGCCUGGCCAAUGGCCUUGAAAAGCUGCGGCCGUUCUUCAGAACAGGGAUACCAGAAAACAACGUUCCACCCGGCGACCCGCUGGUGCUGGAUGAGCUCGUCUUCUC